ACAGAAAAAGGGAUGUGUUUGGCGCGUACAGUCAGGGACGUGUGGACGGACAUUGACUAAUGAUGGACAGAAUGAGAGAUGUGUUUGGAGCGUUACACCCAGGGACGUGUGGACUGACAUUCGCUCUAAUGAUGGACUUCUGCUCGUGGAUGGGACAUGGGCCAGUUCAUCAGUGAUGCAGCACAGUUUCCAAUAAAGCCCCGUAUUGAGGGAAGUAGAGCACAGAUGGGAAAGUAAGGGAGUGUGAUCAAGACAUGACCAGAUUCAAACCGCAGGUGUCUGCGGCAUGCGUCGAGUGGAGCUUUUUUCCCACUCACAAAUGUUUGUCUUAAAACAGACAUUCUCCAACACAUUGAGUUAGAAGAGGUCAUGGCCAAUCCUUUUGAGACGUGGCACACCGUCGACAGGACACCAGACGUGCAUUUCCAACCUCAGGGGGCGAUUUAAGGAAUUAAGGUACAUUCACACUGGAAUUAAUUCUCUACACGACAGGAAAGCGGCAUACAGCUUCUAAGAUCUACAGGUGGCGUAAGCGGCUUCACGUUCAAUCUGACGCACCUUCAGUCGCUUGACAACAUUAAACACGUGCGGACUGUUUAAAGUAGCCUACAGAUUCUGCAGAUGACAGCUGAGUAUCAUUCAACAACAUUCUCCAACACCUUGAGUUAGAAGAGGUCAUGGCCAAUCCUUUUGAGACGUGGCACACCGUCGACAGGACACCAGACGUGCAUUUCCAACCUCAGGGGGCGAUUUAAGGAAUUAAGGUACAUUCACACUGGAAUUAAUUCUCUACACGACAGGAAAGCGGCAUACAGCUUCUAAGAUCUACAGGUGGCGUAAGCGGCUUCACGUUCAAUCUGACGCACCUUCAGACGCUUGACAACAUUAAACACGUGCGGACUGUUUAAAGUAGCCUACAGAUUCUGCAGAUGACAGCUGAGUAUCAUUCAACAGUCUGCAUUGCCGUGACCCUGAAUGGAUUGAUGGAUGUCUCUCCUACAUCCUGGCUCUUAGACAGGUAUUACUGUUAACAGUUUCACAUUUUUCCGUUCUACCCCACAUAUGAUAACAUGAAAAACACUUGAAACUUGCCUGAAACUUAGUGUAAGUUUUCUGCCUUUCACAUGGAACUUUUAGAGACCGAGGGAUUUGAACCAAGACUGACGAGUGUGUUUUUUUGUGGUUUUUUUUUUUUUUUAAGAUUCUCUCAGAUUUUUUUUCCAGGUUUAGGAACUUGCAUUGUUUAAUUUCUGGCAAAUAAUCUGUGUGAAUGUCAGGAUGGUGAGCAAAUGCAUAGAUUCAUAGAUAAUAUUCUUCCAUUUGAGUGAAAAGACUAACUUGCAACAUCUAACAAACAAGAAACUGGAUUUGAAAAAAAGUUUUAAUUGAAUUUCUUCACACGCACACACAAACCCACACAUGCAUAAAACAGUACAUAGUACAUGGUAUUCACUGAUAUGGUUAUAGCAUAACAAUAUCAAGAGUUUGCAGGCAAAAUAAACAACUUUUCCCUCCCAAUAAAUUGAUGUAACCAAAUAGGAAAAUGAUGAAAACAUGCAGCAAAUGGUCACAUAAUAGCCUAGAGUAUAAAAGACAAAUCUUU